rnacentral:rRNA from 1 species
GGAGUCCUACGGGGGGCAGCAGUAGGGAAUUUUCGUCAAUGGGCGCAAGCCUGAACGAGCAAUGCCGCGUGAACGAGGAAGGUCUUCGGAUCGUAAAGUUCUGUUGAAGGGGAAAAAGAGCGGAGAGAGGAAAUGCUUUCUGAUUGAUAUUACCCUUCGAGGAAGUCACGGCUAACUACGUGCCAGCAGCCGCGGUAAUACGUAGGUGGCGAGCGUUAUCCGGAAUGAUUGGGCGUAAAGGGUGCGAAGGCGG